AAUGAGAACUCUGCCCAAGUGUCCCCAGUUAAUUGCUCUUAGAUAGUAACCAGACUUUAUCCUAUUCAGAGUACACUCCAAGAAGUUGUAAAACAAUUAACCAAAGGUCAUAAAAAGGGAACUAAUGAUUUAUUAUAGGUGUUAGGACAGAAGAUAAAAUAUCUAUUGGGCUUAUCUAUACAAAACUUCACUGAUAACUUAGUUAUGGUUUUAAACCUUCAGGGACCCUGUAGAGCUGAGACAAGUGAUGGAUGUUUAGCCAGAUAAUUACUCCUAACUGUUAGGAGCGUGCAUGUAAACAUUCACUGUUGUAAACUUCUAUUUCAGUUUAUGAUUUGAUUUUAUGUGUGAACUUGUGAUGAACUUGUAACAUGUGAUCAUGUAUUCUGGAAGAUAUAUAAGUACUGAGGACAGAGAGAUGAGGGGAGAGAAAGGAGAAUUUUUUCCCUUUCCCCACUUAGAGAACUUUUUCCCUUUCCCCACUCAGGAUCUUUUUGCUUAGAUAGCUUUCAUAGGAAACUUUUUUACAACUUAGUAAUAAACUCUAUAACCACUUUUCUAAGUGUCCUUUUUUCUCCCUGCAACUUCCAACUAGCAGGCUGAAAGUUAGAGCCCAGCAGCAAUUCCUGCUGCGAUAGAACAAAGGCUAUUAACUUAAUCCUUUGUGGUUUGAGGAAGAGGUGCUAAGUGCCAGAAACUGCAGUCUCUGCCUCAGAGGAUCACAGAAGGCAGGUCAGCUACAAUAGCAUAGUAACUUAGAAUUAGACAAGUAACUUUUUAGUAUAUAGCAACCCUAAAUAUAAGAACCAAGAACCCUCCGCCUACGCGCUCCCCCUCUGCUGUCUCAAGAAGAACCAAGAAGAAAGAACAAAACCCCCACCAGAGCUGCCCCCCCCAACAGUCAAUUUAUAGAGAGAAAAGAUUUAUUUGGGGCCAUGGAUUAAAAGUUUAACUUUGAGAUUGGUUGGCCUUGUGGCCACAGGCCUGUAGUGAGGUAGCACACUGUAGCAUGAGGACACGAUAAAACAAACUGUUGACGUUAUUGUGGGUGCAGAAGACAGAGUCUGAGACAUGGGUCUCUGAGAUCCUUUUGAGGGCACACCCCUAAUGCCCUAAAACCUCACACUGGGCUGGCCUAAAGUUUCCACAGUUUCCAGUAGUGCCGCAGUCAAGGAAACAAGCUUUUAACACCUGGGCCUUGGGGAGAGUUCAGAUCCAUACUAUAGCAUUAACUGUGUAGGACAGACUGACUGACAGGCAAGCAGUCAUGAUUAGAUUAAGAAGAAUGUUUCUCCACACAGGUUGUGAUUUUUUUUUUUUUCUGUAACUGCUUUUCUGAUGUCCCCAAAAUGUCAUUAAAGGUCUCAAGUUCCCUGGAUUGGGAUCAUUAUCGUCUGUUUUGUUUUUUAGUUGUAGGAGAUAGGGUCUUAUAUAGCUCAGGCUGGUCUCAAACUUGUUAUGUAACAGAGGCUGGCCUUGAACUCAGCCUCUUGAGUCUACCUCCCAAGUACUAGAAUUAACAGGUGUGCUGGACCAUGCCUAGUGUGGAUUAGGUUCUUUGGAAAAGCUGUGAGAAAUAUGUACACUACUGGGCAACUCAGCAAAAGGAUUCUUAAAACUGUAGAUCUCAGUCACUGACAUCUCGCCAUCUGGAUUUUAUAAGCUGUAUAAUGAUGUUUCAUAAGUUGUAUAAAACUUGAACUUUAAUUUAUGGCUGAAUAUAUUGUUCUUUUUUUCUCUUAACAUCCGUUAUUUUAUAUUCCUACCUACACUCUCUUGCCAUCUGUGAUGUAAGUUAUCAGUAGAAAAGAAAAACCUGAAAAAUUCU
rnacentral:lncRNA from 1 species